rnacentral:other from 1 species
CAUGGGACGCUAGUUGUGAACAAGGUGUGAAGAGCCUAUUGAGCUACUUAGGAGUCCUCCGGCCCCUGAAUGCGGCUAAUCUUAACCACGGAUCAAGUGCCUUCAAACCAGGAGGUGGCUUGUCGUAAUGCGCAAGUCCGUGGCGGAACCGACUACUUUGGGUGUCCGUGUUUCCUUUUNUUUCNUNUGUGGCUGCUUAUGGUGACAAUCAUAGAUUGUUAUCAUAAAGCGAAUUGGAUUGGCCAUCCGGUG